rnacentral:rRNA from 1 species
AAUGGCCCCACGAAGGCUACACUGUCUCCCCCCUCCAAUCAGUGAAACUGAUCUCCUCGUGAAGAAGCGAGGAUACCCCCAUAAGACGAGAAGACCCCAUGGAACUUUAAACUAGUACCACUCCUCCACACGACAUCCCAUGACUACUAGUCUUUCGGUUGGGGUGACCACGGGAAAAAAUAAAACCCCCGAGAUGAAAGGAAACAUCCUUAUCUCAGAACUACUAUUCCAAGAAUCAAAAAAUGACACUAUUGACCCAAUACUUGAUCAACGAACCAAGCUACCCUGGGGAUAACAGCGCAAUCCAUUUCAAGAGCUCCCAUCAACAAAUGGGCUUACGACCUCGAUGUUGGAUCAGGAAAUCCUAGUGGUGCAGCCGCUACUAAAGGUUCGUUUGUUCAACGAUUAAAACCCU